UACAGGGGGUGCAAACGUUGCUCGGAAUCAUUGGGCGUAAAGCGCACGUAGGCGGUUCGUUAUGUCGGAUGUGAAAGCCCUGGGCUCAACCUGGGAACUGCAGUGGAUACUGGCGGACUAGAGUGUGAUAGAGGAUGGUGGAAUUCCCGGUGUAGCGGUGAAAUGCGUAGAGAUCGGGGAGGAACACCAGUGGCGAAGGCGGCCAUCUGGAUCAACACUGACGCUGAGGCACGAAAGCGUGGGGAGCAAACAGG
rnacentral:rRNA from 1 species